UACGUAGGGUGCAAGCGUUAUCCGGAAUUAUUGGGCGUAAAGAGCUCGUAGGCGGUUCGUCGCGUCGGCUGUGAAAUCCCGAGGCUCAACCUCGGGUCUGCAGUCGAUACGGGCGGACUGGAGUUCGGCAGGGGAGACUGGAAUUCCUGGUGUAGCGGUGAAAUGCGCAGAUAUCAGGAGGAACACCGGUGGCGAAGGCGGGUCUCUGGGCCGAUAUUGACGCUGAGGAGCGAAAGCGUGGGGGAGCGAACAGG
rnacentral:rRNA from 1 species